rnacentral:lncRNA from 1 species
ACUGGACGCCCAUCGUUGUGCGAUAAAUGUUGGAUCUGGAUGCCCGUGUUUUUGGUGGUGGGGAGGGUGUUAUCGGCGCGGGAGCGACGAAGGUUGGAUCCGGUAGGAUUUGGAGCCUGGAUGCCCAUGGGUUUGGUGAUGGCCAUGGUGUUCAUGGCAUGGGAGUGGUUGCCUUCCAAGGAGGGAGCGACAUUGCCCUUUUGGCAUUUUGUUCGUGGCUGUGGUGGUGGUCAUGGUUGGGGCUGGAUCGGCGGCCUCACCAGAAGAGGUGCAUGAGGCUAUGGCGGUGGAGCUAGUGGUAGUGGAGCCACCUAGGCCAAUGUCCAGUAGCAAGUUGAAGGCUGUGCAGAGGUACUAAAAACUGGUGGAGCCACUGUUGGCAAUGCGCGGCAACCGGUGUCAUGACAGUUGUUGGUUGUUGCUACCAAUGCUACUCCUGUGAAGGAUGACGAUGAAGAUAAGACAGAUGAUUGAAGGUCCGUCGAAGCUUCUCCAAGGUAUCUUUUAGUGUUCUGAGGUGACACCGGAGAGAUUUUACUAGGAGGAACGUGUUUUCCCUAGUUUUUUGUCUUUUUGAGUUGUAUUAACCGAGCUCUGAAGGGUAUUGUUUCUUCAAUAAUAUAAAAGUUGUGUGCAUCGAGUCCCUUUUCAAAAAAAAAGAAAAAGAAUCUCAUAAAUAGCUUGAGAAACCGUACCCCUCGCAGCAAGGUAGGUAUAGCAAGGGGAAUCCAGCGUCCCGAAUGGAGGUGGUGGUAAGGUUAAGCUCAGGUCUGCCUAAGAAUAGAAAUGUGUUGGAUGAUGAAACGUGUAAAUAUGGCUCAGUGCCUGAAUCCUCCCAGUGUUCAUAAGUAAUUCAGAGUUUUAGACACUGUAUCUUGCUCUUGACACAGCAAUUCAUAUGGACCAAUAUUUGCAUCAUUAUGCAGUUUUCGAUGUAUAUAAUAUCUCCCUCUUGAUGUCAGAAUUCAGAUGCAAAGAGAACACCCCCAAGAACCCAUA